UACGGGGGGGGCAAGCGUUGUUCGGAAUUACUGGGCGUAAAGCGCGCGUAGGCGGCUUUGUAAGUUAGAGGUGAAAGCCCGGAGCUUAACUCCGGAACUGCCUUUAAGACUGCAUCGCUAGAAUUGUGGAGAGGUAAGUGGAAUUCCGAGUGUAGAGGUGAAAUUCGUAGAUAUUCGGAAGAACACCAGUGGCGAAGGCGACUUACUGGACACAUAUUGACGCUGAGGUGCGAAAGCGUGGGGAGCAAACAGG
rnacentral:rRNA from 1 species